GCUUCUUAAAUUUGAUCAUCAAUUUUAGGUCAUUUAACAUGAUUGAAUGCUCUACUUGCAUGAUAUUGGUUAAAAUGGUGGUGGAUUUCAUUUUGAUUAAUCAAGCUUGAUUGCAUAAAAAUACCUAAAGAGGACCACUACAAGCCUAUUCUCUAUUAUUUUCUUUGUGUGACAUGUACUCAUAGCAAUUGAAACUCUAGAACUUGCUUAGUUUCUUUUCAAAGUCACAAUAGCAUAUGUGUGCAUGGAGAUCAAGGAAAUUUAUCACUCUUGUUCCAUCAUGAUUUCCCAUUUCUUUCUCCACAAUUUUCUUGAAACAUUUUCAUCUAGCAUUCUAAUUCCUAAUUCUCUUUGCUUGUCAUAUUUCUUUUAUUUCGUUGAGAGUUUUGGAUUAAUUGCUUGAUGAGUUAGCUUGACCAAGAUAUGGACAAAGGUUAAGUGUGGGGGAAGAUGCAUAUGCUUUGAGUACAUAGAGGAUCUCUUGUGUAAAUUAUUUGGGAAAUUUUGGGAUUAUGAAAUCAAUCCGACUUAAGGGGGAAAUAGAUGUGGAGAUUUGAGUUCAAGAUUACGUGGUUGAACUUAGAUAAUGAGUUUUGGAUGAUGGCUGUGGAAUUCUAGAUAGGAACUUGUUAUAGAAAAUGACAGCUGUUGGAGUCAACGAACUUUGUUUUGAAGCUACAGAUUAAAGCAACAAUUCAUAGAUACUAGCUCCAAUUCCAGGAAAUCUGGACUUUUGUUUCUGCAGUGGAUUGAAUUUCUUGUGCCAACUGCCAAUAUUGUUUCUGAUAAGAAAUAUUAUCACUGAUUCUUUGAUCAGUAACAAAAUCUGGAUGCAGAAAUGAAUUUCAGAUUUCAGAUUAUGCACUACAAAUUCUAUUUUGUGUCACCUUCUCUUGUGAACUUCCUGGACAGUGACUAAUCCAAGUUAAAUGUCAAAUUUGAAAUGUUAUUUUGUUCAUGCUAUAUUCGAAUAUGCAGAGAAUGUAUAAAAAUCUGCAGCAGAAACGGAGGAAGGCAGUGAUGAAUUUCAAUUUAUGAAGUGAUAUUUUAUUCAAGGAUUAUAAUCUCAACUUUGAAAUGGAACCAAUGAGAAUAAAAGGAGGCGUUUGCUGUAAAAACAGAAAAUCUGAUCAGGAAAGAGGAAAUGUUGUAAACUGCAGCAAUGAGAAGAUGUGCCAGUUCGUGCCAAUCUACAAGCUAUUUUCUGAUCAGUAUUGUUUUGAAUUUAAGCUCCAUUCACUUUAAUGCUAAGUGAGUCCUAGUUCUGAUUUCUUGAAAGACAUGCUCAAUUCUGAACAUUUCUGCUAUGCAGGAAUGAGAAGUUGGAAUUUAAUUGGAUUUGAUUACUAACCUGAAUUCUUGAUUGAUACAAUUGAUUCUCUAUUGUAAUGUAAGAGCAAACAAGAGUGAUGAACUCAAGUGAAGUCUUGUUUUAUGCAGAAACUAAAACUGUAACAGAAAUGAAAGGCUACUGGAACUAAGCUUCAUAUUGCUACUGCAUGGGUUUCAGAAGCUAAUUACAUUUAUUGAGAGCUAGCUAUGGUAUAUCAAAAUUCAGAAGCAAUAUCAAGUUGAGGAGAAGAUCUUGUGAAAUUCUAAAGUGUGAAGAAACAAAUGGUAAUCUCGCAUCAAAUUAAUGAAAGAACAUAAAUGUGCAGGAAAUCUAAUCAGGCUGCAAGAAAUGACAGUACUGAUACUUGAUGUGUCAUUCCGUGUGCCAACUGAAAUGCCAUGUCUUGCUGUGACAGAAUUGAAAUCUGUUAAUGCUGGAAUUUCAGAAGUGGUUUCUCAAGUUCUGUUCAUAUUUAACAGAUAUCUGUUUCAAUGUAAAGUGAAAACACAUUUAAAGAAGUUGAGGAGACAAGUAGCUGAUUCAGAAAUAACUAUCUAUUCUGCUGGAUCUAAAUCUGAUUUCAGAAAUGGACAUAAUUGCAGAAUUAUUCCGAGUUUGUGAAACUGGCAGUGAGCAUAUUACAGUCCUAUACUCUUGUAACAAAUGCAACUUCCUUUCAAGCCGAUCAUUGCAGGAAUUUGAUUUUUGAAACUGUGUACUCAGUUUUCUGCAUAAACAGAGUACAGAAAUUGCAGGAAUUUGAGAUUACAAAAAUUGAUCAUUGCAGGAAUUUAGAGGUGGAGAUUUAGUAUUGGUGGAGGUCUAUAGCAUUUGGAAGUUGAGAAUCCAAACUCAAAAUUUCUACAGAAAUGAAACCUACAAGGUGAGUGUAGCUGCUAGAAGUUGAUCAUGUUGUAUCAAGUUUGUACCAAAAUCCCAUUAGCAGUACGCAAAUCAGAGAGAGUUAAGUGAAGAUUAUAUAUUUUUAGGCAACAAAUGGAGUUCAUUCAUUUCUUUCAGGAAUUGUUCAGGUAUGAAGGUUGAUAUUUAGAACUUAUUGGAGAUAAAAGUGCUUUGUUUGAAUUCUACAAGAGUUGCUUAUUGCUACUUGACCUUGUUGCUAGAAAGAGUUUCGGAUGAAUAUGUAAAAUUCAGGAAUUGUUGAAAGCAAGAUGUUGCUGAGCUUGCAUCCUUAAUUUUCUGAAUCAAUGUGUUGUAUUUCCAUAAGAGGGCUCUGAAAUUCAGUAUAGAACUGAAAUCUGUUGCUGCUGAAUACUUGCUUGCUGAUUUCUGGAAUUUGAUAGCUGCACUUCAGUAGAAUUCAUUUUGAAUGCUGCUGGAAGAAGUUUGUAUUUCCCUGGUUCAUUGAAAAUGAGCUAAAGAUUUCAAUAUCUAGUUUCAUUGAAUCUGAGUAUUAGUCAUUCUUUGCUGCUUAACUUCUGCAAUUUUGAAUUUUUUCUACUGCAAUGGUGAGAAACUUGUAACUGUAAAGCACCACAGGAACAGAGGAAGAGAAAAAUCAGAACCUGCAGCAGAAGAGAAAAUCAUAACAGUGUUCAAAGAGUGUUAAAAAUUGGAAAGCUUGAUAUUGUCCGAGACGGCCAAAUUUUAAGUGUAGGGGAGGAAGCUCUUCUCCAUGAGAUGAUUUGAGAUUAUUUUUGAGUUUCAAAGUGCUGAAA